GUGAGGAAUUUUCCGCAAUGGGCGAAAGCCUGACGGAGCAAUGCCGCGUGAAGGAUGAAGGCCUUCGGGUUGUAAACUGCUUUUGUACGGAACGAAACGGUCCUGGUUAAUACCUGGGGCUAAUGACGGUACCGUAAGAAUAAGCACCGGCUAACUACGUGCCAGCAGCCGCGGUAAUACGUAGGGUGCGAGCGUUAAUCGGAAUUACUGGGCGUAAAGCGUGCGCAGGCGGUGCUGUAAGACAUGCGUGAAAUCCCCGGGCUCAACCUGGGAAUUGCGCUUGUGACUGCAGUGCUGGAGUACGGCAGAGGGGGAUGGAAUUCCGCGUGUAGCAGUGAAAUGCGUAGAUAUGCGGAGGAACACCGAUGGCGAAGGUAGUCCCCUGGGCCUGUACUGACGCUCAUGCACGAAAGCGUGGGGAGCAAACAGGAUUAGAAACCCCGGUAGUCC
rnacentral:rRNA from 1 species